UCCUCAGUAGCUCAGCGGUGGAGCAACCGGCUGUUAACCGGUAGGCCGUCCGUUCGAACCGGACCCGGGGAGCCA
rnacentral:tRNA from 1 species